GGUUAGGUGGCCGAGUAAUAAGGCGGUAAGCUGUAAAUUUACUGAUGGGGGUUCAACUCCCCCCCUCCCCA
rnacentral:tRNA from 1 species